CGGCGUGCCUAACACAUGCAAGUCGUACGAGAAAGCCGGCUUCGGCUGGUGAGUAAAGUGGCGCACGGGUGAGUAACGCGUGGAUAAUCUGCCCUUAAGUGUGGAAUAACGUACCGAAAGGUGCGCUAAUACCGCAUAAUGCCUGGCAACACAAGUUGUCCGGCCAAAGAGGGCCUCUGUUUACAAGCUUUCGCUUCAGGAUGAGUCCGCGUACCAUUAGCUUGUUGGUGGGGUAAUGGCCUACCAAGGCUGCGAUGGUUAGCUGGUCUGAGAGGAUGAUCAGCCACACUGGAACUGAGACACGGUCCAGACUCCUACGGGAGGCAGCAGUGAGGAAUAUUGCGCAAUGGGGGCAACCCUGACGCAGCAACGCCGCGUGAGUGAGGAAGGUUUUCGGACUGUAAAGCUCUGUCGAGCGGGAAGAAGUGUACCAUGGCUAAUAUCCAUGAUAUUUGACGGUACCGCUAGAGGAAGCACCGGCUAACUCCGUG
rnacentral:rRNA from 1 species